AUGUUCAUUCUUCCUGCAGAUGAGAUCCCAGUGUCCCUGUUUCAGCAGGAUGUUUUGGUCAUUGGCUUAAAAAACAUGGUCACUGAAGAGUGUUCCUGUUUUCCAGAGGAAUCCGAAGAAACCCUGCCUCACCAGGACAGAAAUCAGCCAGAUAGGACCGUGGCAAUCCUGGAUUUUUUUUUGGAAGUCCUGACACUUAAGUUCCUCGUGGUUGCUUUUGGAAACCUAAACCUCAGCUUUACUAGCGUCUGUGUCAGAACAAAACUGCUUCAUGCAACCAAACUUGCAGUAUCUACCAUCUCUCAGAACCCACUAAUUGAGAGAGACAGAAUGUCAGUGAGGAUUAAUGCGCCUUCAUUCGCUUUGAGCACCUGA
rnacentral:lncRNA from 1 species